rnacentral:rRNA from 1 species
UACAGAGGUCUCAAGCGUUGUUCGGAUUCAUUGGGCGUAAAGGGUGCGUAGGCGGCGCGGUAAGUCGGGUGUGAAAUCUCGGAGCUUAACUCCGAAACUGCAUUCGAUACUGCCGUGCUUGAGGACUGGAGAGGAGACUGGAAUUUACGGUGUAGCGGUGAAAUGCGUAGAUAUCGUAAGGAAGACCAGUGGCGAAGGCGGGUCUCUGGACAGUGACUGACGCUGAGGCACGAAGGUCAGGGGAGCAAACGGG